AGAACGGCGGGUGGGACUUCCUUCAGAGGUCCGCUCACCCUUUGGGCCGCACUAAUAUUAUACUUUCAUAUCAUGGUGGGGGCCACGAGACAUCGUUCUGCGGGCCGCAGUUGGCCUGCGGGCCGCGAGAAUGAGACCUCUGCUUAAGGCGUCACUGCAGUUAAAAA